rnacentral:rRNA from 1 species
CAAGUCGAACGCAGUAGCAAUACUGAGUGGCAGACGGGUGAGUAACAUGUGGGAAUCUGCCUUGUGGUUCAGGACAACAUUGGGAAACCGAUGCUAAUACUGGAUAAGCCCUUACGGGGAAAGUUUUAAUGCCAUAAGAUGAGCCCGCAUUUGAUUAGUUAGUUGGUGAGGUAAUGGCUCACCAAGACAAUGAUCAAUAGCUGAUCUGAGAGGAUGAUCAGCCACACUGGGACUGAGACACGGCCCAGACUCCUACGGGAGGCAGCAGUGGGGAAUCUUGCACAAUGGAGGAAACUCUGAUGCAGCGAUGCCGCGUGAGUGAAGAAGGCUUUUGGGUUGUGAAGCUCUUUUGUAGGGGAAGAUAAUGACUGUACCCUAAGAAUAAGGUCCGGCUAACUUCGUGCCAGCAGCCGCGGUAAUACGAAGGGACCUAGCGUAGUUCGGAAUUACUGGGCGUAAAGCGCGCGUAGGCCGUUGAGUUAGUUAAUUGUGAAAUCCCAAAGCUUAACUUUGGAACUGCAAUUAAAACUGCUCGACUAGAGUUUGAUAGAGGAAAGCGGAAUACAUAGUGUAGAGGUGAAAUUCGUAGAUAUUAUGUAGAACACCAGUUGCGAAGGCGGCUUUCUGGACCAACACUGACGCUGAGGCGCGAAAGUAUGGGUAGCAAAGAGGAUUAGAUACCCUCGUAGUCCAUACCAUAAACGAUGAUUGCUAGAUGUUGGAAAUUUAUUUUCAGUAUCGCAGCUAACGCAUUAAGCAAUCCGCCUGGGGAGUACGACCGCAAGGUUAAAACUCAAAUGAAUUGACGGG